GACGAACGCUGGCGGCGUGCUUAACACAUGCAAGUCGAACGGAAAGGCCCUGCUUUUGUGGGGUGCUCGAGUGGCGAACGGGUGAGUAACACGUGAGUAACCUGCCCUUGACUUUGGGAUAACUUCAGGAAACUGGGGCUAAUACCGGAUAGGAGCUCCUGCUGCAUGGUGGGGGUUGGAAAGUUUCGGCGGUUGGGGAUGGACUCGCGGCUUAUCAGCUUGUUGGUGGGGUAGUGGCUUACCAAGGCUUUGACGGGUAGCCGGCCUGAGAGGGUGAACGGCCACAUUGGGACUGAGAUACGGCCCAGACUCCUACGGGAGGCAGCAGUGGGGACUAUUGCACAAUGGGCGGAAGCCUGAUGCAGCAACGCCGCGUGCGUGAUGACGGCCUUCGGGUUGUAAACCGCUUUCGCCUGUGACGAAGCGUGAGUGACGGUAAUGGGUAAAGAAGCACCGGCUAACUACGUG
rnacentral:rRNA from 1 species